rnacentral:rRNA from 1 species
GAUGAACGCUAGCUACAGGCUUAACACAUGCAAGUCGAGGGACCGGCGCACGGGUGCGUAACACGUAUCCAACCUGCCCUUUACUCGGGGAUAGACUUUCGAUAGAAAGAUUAAUACCCGAUAUCAAGGAUGGGGAUGCGUUAGAUUAGGUUGUUGGUGAGGUAACGCCUAACCAAGCCUUCGGUGGAUAGGGGAUCUGAGAGGAAGGUACACUACAUCGGAAAUGAGCUACAGUCCAAAACCCUACGGGGGACAGCAGUGAAGAGUAUUGGUCAAUGGGGGCUAGCCUGACCCAGCCAAGUAGCUUGAAGAAUGAUGGGUUAUGAGUCGUAAACUUCUUUUAUAUAAGAAUAUGUAUUAUAUGAAUAAGGAUCGGCUAACUCCGUGCCAGCAGCCGCGGUAAUAC